GGCAAUUGAACUAAUUGCGGUAUUUAUCCUUCUCUCCUACCAUGCUUAGACUAAAUAUCUGUAUCAUAUCCUUUGCAGCAAUUGUUCUAUGUGUAUGCUAUAGCCUUUGGCCUCCGCACUCUGCAAAGCAUGCUGACGUGGAAACUGUCAAUGAAUGGUUUGAACCUUUAGAUGUAUGUGUUCAUGGGUUUAAUUUACUUAAUGUGGCACUUGUUUGAUAGUACAUAGCUAGUUAGCAUGUAAAUGGAAAUGCUGAUAUGCUGAAACGGACAUGGGAAACAACAUUUCUCAAAAAUAUAGGAAAAGGAAAUGUGGAAAAACGUGCAAAUAUUAAAAAUAUAGUGGUGCAGUUACAAAUAUAAAAUUUUUA
rnacentral:misc_RNA from 1 species